AGUCGCGGGGCAUCAUGGAGGUUGUUUUCACUUUUGAUGGCGACCGGCGCACGGGUGAGUAACGCGUAUCCAACCUUCCCAUUACUACGGCAUACCCCGUUGAAAGGCGGCCUAAUUCCGUAUGCAGUCCGAAGCAGUCAUCUAAUUUGGACGAAAGGUAUAUUCUAUCGGUAAUGGAUGGGGAUGCGUCCGAUUAGCCAGCCGGCGGGGUAACGGCCCACCGGGGCAUCGAUCGGUAGGGGUUCUGAGAGGAAGGUCCCCCACACUGGAACUGAGACACGGUCCAGACUCCUACGGGAGGCAGCAGUGAGGAAUAUUGGUCAAUGGGCGUAAGCCUGAACCAGCCAAGUAGCGUGCAGGAUGACGGCCCUAUGGGUUGUAAACUGCUUUUAUGCGGGGAUAAAGUUGGGGACGUGUCCCUUUUUGCAGGUACCGCAUGAAUAAGGACCGGCUAAUUCCGUGCCAGCAGCCGCGGUAAUACGGAAGGUCCGGGCGUUAUCCGGAUUUAUUGGGUUUAAAGGGAGCGUAGGCAGUUUUUUAAGCGUGCUGUGAAAUGUACCGGCUCAACCGGUGAUGUGCAGCGCGAACUGGGAAUCUUGAGUACGCAGUAAGCAGGCGGAAUUCGUGGUGUAGCGGUGAAAUGCUUAGAUAUCACGAAGAACUCCGAUUGCGUAGGCAGCUUGCUGUAGCGUAACUGACGCUGAAGCUCGAAAGUGCGGGUAUCGAACAGGAUUAGAUACCCUGGUAGUCCGCACGGUAAACGAUGGAUGCCCGCUGUCGGCCUUUUUUGGUCGGUGGCCAAGCGAAAGCGUUAAGCAUCCCACCU
rnacentral:rRNA from 2 species